ensembl:lncRNA
AACUUGCUGAAGGCCUUAUGUUCUUCAUCCAAUAAAAAUGUGAGUUUGUUCUCACUACCUGUUGUAGACGAGCGGAAUGUGCCCUGAGAGGCAAUCUAGUUUGAUAUGAAUGGUCAAGAGUCCACAAACUUUAUCGAGUGAUAUAGUGAUAUACAAGCACCUCUUUGAAGCUUUCCUGUAAGAAAAAAAGCCAAAGUCUGCACCUCUGGAGGGAUUCUGCUUUUAGCCAGAGGUAAAUUCAGAGCCAUAUUUUUUCAACCUGCCAUCUUUUAUCCUGUAUGUUGCCACCAGAUUUACAACUGCCAAAAUUAAGGCUGGAAAACUGAAAGUUUGUUAGAAAAAAAAAAUGGAGUUAGGCAGGAAAUAUGAAAACAGAAAAUCAUAUCUUUGAUGGACUAAAGUUCAUGUAGGCCAUUAUCCUCCCUUGGAUCAAAGCCAGUGUUACAGGAAAUGAUAAAAAGCUGCAGUAAUUUGGCCCCAGAGCUCAUACUGAUCUCUGACAGAUUGUCUGAACACAAAAUGCAUUAUUUGUUCUAACACAUUUAUUGUUGUCAGUUGUGGAUAAAUAUAUUUCUGACAUUUAUAAAAGUAUAUAGACUAUUUAUUUACACACAAAAACAAAAAUUUGACCUUUAUAUCUUCUUUCUGUAAUCAGUUUUCCAGUGUGGUCUUGUGAUCAGGAUGCAUCAGCGGAAAACUUAACGGAGAAAAAGCCCAUGAAUUCUUGAACUCCAUCAGUGCCCAGAAAAGUAUUUUUAUAAGGGAAUGUUCUAGGACUUCUUUGUGGACUGAUGUGCGCAAACUGUGCUUAGUGACUUGUGAAUCAAGCACAGCCCCUGAGAUCAGAGGCAAUGCUCACCCCACACAUACAGCACUGUUGACAUCAACAAAACUCCCUGUGUGAAUAACUUGGAUCCUGCAGAAAAUUUGAGGUUGAAACUGGGAUUUAUAAAAAUUGCCCAGUUACAUAAAAUAGAUUUUUGUUACAGGAAAUAUUUAACUAAGUCAAGUUUUUCUUAGAAUUAGUAACUUCUGCUUAGUAACUUCCGCUUUUUGGUAUCACAGUUUACAUUACUGUGUCUGUUACCAGAGAAACGGAAUACGGUUGUUGCUAUGGGAACAUGUGGUGUGCUAUAAACAAGCUGCACAGCAAUAACUUAAUUUGAAUGCCAUUAUUGUAUGCUACUCUAAGCAAAUGGUAAAUAUGAAUUGAAAGAGAAUUUGAACAAUUUUGAAUAUUUUUUAUGGUAUCGUUUGGCUGUUAUUUUAACGCACAUCUUACUAAAAGUCCAGCAAGAAAAAUCAUCAAGUCUUUCCAAAAGUAUGAAGUAAUAGUUUAAGGAGAUUAAAAUCCUGAUUCUGUCUUUUUUAAUCUGGCUAUGUAACUUAAACUCCGAGCCUCAUAUUUCACUUGAAUGAAAUCAUAUUUAUUUGGUUUUAGAAGUCAGAUGAAAUAUAUGCAGUUCAAGGUACUAUUUUAAAAAAUUGUUAUUGUUCAAAUUAUUACUCGAAAUACUUAUUUGAAUGCAAAAAUGUACCCAGAAUGUACUCCUCAUUUCCGUACAUCUGUUCACUGAAAAAUUAGCAGUCUCACCUGAAAUUGUAUGUCUCAAAUAUGCAUAUUGUGUAUGAUCACAAGCUUAUGAGAGCCAUAAUAUAUUUGAUAUUUUAAAUAUUUUAUUAAAGAUUGUUUAAAUGCUUAAAAUAUUGUAAUUAUAGCAAAUACCUGAUUCCCACCACAGUCUGGAUAUGGCAUUUAAAAUUGUUUAUCUUUGUAUUCCAAAUGAAAAGAAACUAUUUUUAAGAUGAUCUGAGGAUCACUGCUGUGCUUUUCAUGUAUACAUAGGUUUAAAAAGAGAAACAGUUUUAUUUUCUGUGUUUGGCUUGAUAAAACAUUAUGAAGA